rnacentral:rRNA from 1 species
AUGAUUAAAGCUACGGCGGCAAUAGAUGGGCAUGCGUACCAUUAGCUAGUUGGUGAGGUAACGGCUCACCAAGGUUACGAUGGUUAGGGGGUCUUAAAGGAUGAUCCCCCACACUGGUACUGAGACACGGACCAGACUCCUACGGGAGGCAGCAGUGAGGAAUAUUGGGCAAUGGACGCAAGUCUGACCCAGCCAUGCCGCGUGCAGGAUGACUGCUCUAGUAGUUGUAAACUGCUUUUCUAUUUCAUGAACCCCUCUGACGUGUCAGGGGCUGACAGUAGAAUAGGAAUAAGCAUCGGCUAACUCCGUGCCAGCAGCCGCGGUAAUACGGAGGAUGCAAGCGUUAUCCGGAUUUACUAGGUUUAAAGGGUGCGUAGGCGGGGUAUCAAGUCAGUGGUGAAAUCCUGCAGCUCAACUGUAGAACUGCCAUUGAAACUGAUAUUCUUGAGUAUAGUUGAGGUAGGCGGAAUGUGUUAAGUAGCGGUGAAAUGCAUAGAGAUAACACAGAACACCGAUUGCGAAGGCAGCUUACUAAACUAUUACUGACGCUGAGGUACGAAAGCGUGGGGAGCGAACAGGAUUAGAUACCCUGGUAGUCCACGCCGUAAACGUUGAUCACUAGUUGUUUGCGAUAACGUUGUGAGCGACUGAACAAAAGCAUUAAGUGAUCCACCUGGGGAGUACGUUGGCAACGAUGAAGCUCAAA